rnacentral:tRNA from 1 species
GCGGGAGUAGCUCAGUUGGCAGAGCGACAGCCUUCCAAGCUGUAGGUCGCGGGUUCGAACCUCGUCUCCCGCU